CAGCAGUGGGGAAUAUUGCACAAUGGGGGAAACCCUGAUGCAGCGACGCCGCGUGGAGGAAGAAGGUCUUCGGAUUGUAAACUCCUGUUGUUGAGGAAGAUAAUGACGGUACUCAACAAGGAAGUGACGGCUAACUACGUGCCAGCAGCCGCGGUAAAACGUAGGUCACAAGCGUUGUCCGGAAUUACUGGGUGUAAAGGGAGCGCAGGCGGGAAGACAAGUUGGAAGUGAAAUCUAUGGGCUCAACCCAUAAACUGCUUUCAAAACUGUUUUUCUUGAGUAGUGCAGAGGUAGGCGGAAUUCCCGGUGUAGCGGUGGAAUGCGUAGAUAUCGGGAGGAACACCAGUGGCGAAGGCGGCCUACUGGGCACCAACUGACGCUGAGGCUCGAAAGUGUGGGUAGCAAACAGGAUUAGAUACCCUGGUAGUCCACACCGUAAACGAUGAUUACUAGGUGUUGGAGGAUUGACCCCUUCAGUGCCGCAGUUAACACAAUAAGUAAUCCACCUGGGGAGUACGACCGCAAGGUUGAAACUCAAAGGAAUUGACGGGGGCCCGCACAAGCAGUGGAGUAUGUGGUUUAAUUCGACGCAACGCGAAGAACCUUACCAAGUCUUGACAUCCUGCGACGGACAUAGAAAUAUGUCUUUCCUUCGGGACGCAGAGACAGGUGGUGCAUGGUUGUCGUCAGCUCGUGUCGUGAGAUGUUGGGUUAAGUCC
rnacentral:rRNA from 1 species